AUGGCAGCAAAGAAAGGGUUUAGAAGCUGGAAACUUUCAGCAAAGAAACUCCCUUUAUAAUGAUGAAAAUCGAGAUUUGGACCUAGAACGGAAAGAAAUUGAUUAAGGGAUAAUUACGUUUUUUUUCACCUUUGUGGUAUCGAGAGUUUCCAGGUUAGCUCGGGUUGGAGGCCGUUAGAGAUAUUAUCACACUGUCAAGCUAACGAUAUUGGUGUAGUGAUUUCAAGUACUUUGAGCCUAUGGCAUGUAUAGGAGUUUAAAUAUUAGAGUAUGUAAUAUGGCUUUAACCAUAUGUGUUGGCCUAUUUGGAUUAUGGGGUUGUAAAUCUAUUUUAAUUAUGCAUGCAUGUGCUAUGGUAUUAUGUGAUGAGUUUAUAAUGAUUAUAGUAUGAAUGUGGUAAAGAUGUGAGUAAAAUCUAUGAUAUCUAUUGCAUGUGAAAUUGCCAUAAUCAUGACAUGUUAG